rnacentral:rRNA from 1 species
GAAGCUUGCUUUUUGAAAGUUAGCGGCGGACGGGUGAGUAACACGUGGGCAACCUGCCUGCAAGACGGGGAUAACUCCGGGAAACCGGGGCUAAUACCGGAUAAUAUCUUCCUUCGCAUGAAGGAAGGUUGAAAGGCGGCGCAAGCUGCCGCUUGCAGAUGGGCCCGCGGCGCAUUAGCUAGUUGGUGAGGUAACGGCUCACCAAGGCGACGAUGCGUAGCCGACCUGAGAGGGUGAUCGGCCACACUGGGACUGAGACACGGCCCAGACUCCUACGGGAGGCAGCAGUAGGGAAUCUUCCGCAAUGGACGAAAGUCUGACGGAGCAACGCCGCGUGAGCGAAGAAGGUCUUCGGAUCGUAAAGCUCUGUUGUCAGGGAAGAACAAGUACCGUUCGAACAGGGCGGUACCUUGACGGUACCUGACCAGAAAGCCACGGCUAACUACGUGCCAGCAGCCGCGGUAAUACGUAGGUGGCAAGCGUUGUCCGGAAUUAUUGGGCGUAAAGCGCGCGCAGGCGGUCUCUUAAGUCUGAUGUG